rnacentral:rRNA from 1 species
AACGAACGCUGGCGGCAGGCUUAACACAUGCAAGUCGAACGCAUCCUUCGGGGUGAGUGGCAGACGGGUGAGUAACGCGUGGGAACGUGCCCUUCAGUUCGGGAUAACCCAGGGAAACUUGGGCUAAUACCGGAUACGUGCGAGAGCAGAAAGAUUUAUCGCUGAAGGAUCGGCCCGCGUCUGAUUAGCUAGUUGGUGGGGUAAUGGCCCACCAAGGCGACGAUCAGUAGCUGGUCUGAGAGGAUGAUCAGCCACAUUGGGACUGAGACACGGCCCAAACUCCUUCGGGAGGCAGCAGUGGGGAAUAUUGGACAAUGGGCGCAAGCCUGAUCCAGCCAUGUCGCGUGGGUGAUGAAGGCCUUAGGGUUGUAAAGCUCUUUCGUCCGGGACGAUAAUGACGGUACCGGAAGAAGAAGCCCCGGCUAACUUCGUGCCAGCAGCCGCCGUAA